UCCUACGGGGGGCAGCAGUGAGGGAUAUUGGUCAAUGGGGGAAACCCUGAACCAGCAACGCCGCGUGAGGGAAGACGGCUUUCGGGUUGUAAACUUCUUUUAAGGGGGAAGAGCAGAAGACGGUACCCCUUGAAUAAGCCACGGCUAACUACGUGCCAGCAGCCGCGGUAAUACGUAGGUGGCAAGCGUUGUCCGGAUUUACUGGGUGUAAAGGGCGUGCAGCCGGAGAGACAAGUCAGAUGUGAAAUCCACGGGCUCAACCCGUGAACUGCAUUUGAAACUGUUUCCCUUGAGUGUCGGAGAGG
rnacentral:rRNA from 1 species